rnacentral:rRNA from 1 species
UUAGGAAUCUUCCGCAAUGGACGGAAGUCUGACGGAGCGACGCCGCUUGGAGGAGGAAGCCCUUCGGGGUGUAAACUCCUGAACUGGGGACGAAAGGCCUGGAGAGGGGGAUGACGGUACCCAGGUAAUAGCGCCGGCCAACUCCGUGCCAGCAGCCGCGGUAAUACGGAGGGCGCGAGCGUUACCCGGAUUUACUGGGCGUAAAGGGCGUGUAGGCGGUUUGGGGCGUCCCAUGUGAAAGGCCACGGCUCAACCGUGGAGGAGCGUGGGAUACGCUCAAGCUAGAGGGUGGGAGAGGGUGGUGGAAUUCCCGGAGUAGCGGUGAAAUGCGCAGAUACCGGGAGGAACGCCGAUGGCGAAGGCAGCCACCUGGCCCAUUUCUGACGCUGAGGCGCGAAAGCGUGGGGAGCAAACCGGAUUAGAUACCCGGGUAGUCCACGCCCUAAACGAUGCGCGCUAGGUCUUUGGGGUUUUCUGGGGGCCGAAGCCAACGCGUUAAGCGCGCCGCCUGGGGAGUACGGCCGCAAGGCUG